AUCUACUACACUUUAAAAGAGACUCAAGAAAUCACUAUUCCUAAAAGAACUUUCAAUCUGGGCCGUUUAUUUGACUCUCUCUCCAUUUCCACGGUUUAAUCCUGGCCCUUGAUCUGUGAGACUUUUUUCUCCUGUGUUUCCAUGGUAUGCGUUCGUGAGUUAUCGUCAUCCCUGCAGGCCCUGUCCCUGUAGCGUGGGGGUUUCUUCUCGACGUUUCUGUCUGUUGAUGAACUCAACUUGCAUCGUCAUUCUUGCAGGUUCCCUCACUGUAGCGUGCGAGCGAUCGUCAUUCUUGCAGGGUAGCGUGGGUUAGGUUUAGGAGUAGUUGGAGAAGAGAAGAGUUGUGGAAGUUUCGAGGAAGGAGAAGGACGAGAUUUCGGGUUUUACUGUUUGUUUUGAUCAGGAUUGAUGCAAAAUUUCUUCAAUCCCUCUUUGGUUAGGUGACAAUGAGAAGGAGUAGAAUAGAUUGUUGAAGGAGAUUGUGGAAGUGCUCACUGUUUGUUGUCAGGAGUAGAGCAAAAUCAGAAGCUAAAGACGUCAUUUUCUUCGUCAGCUGAAGCUUUUCCUAAUGUCAGGUCAGUACAAGGGGUUGGUUUUCAUCGUGAUCCAGCCUGUUUGCUUGUUCCAUUCAAUUGUCACUGGUUUUCCCUUUCCAAUUGUCUAUAAAUACUGCCUUAGUUUGUUGCUUUUCAUUGUUCAUGUUGCUAUUUCUCUAAAUUUCUGAGAAUUGGUCUUUCCCCCAAUCUUACUGAUGGCGUUAGGCUGGCAUUUUCAAUCCUCUUCCAAGUUUAUGCCUUGGCAAAGAUACAUGUCUGAUCUUAUCAGGUCAGUUUUUUCUUUCUUAGAAGUGUAGAUAGAUAAAACUGAUGGUUAUUUCUUUUUCUAUUUGUUUUUUCAAUCUUAAAUGUCCAGAAUAUGAGUGAAGAAGAAAUAGGCGAAGGAAGAAUGUCCACAAAAAUGGAUGUCUUUCCAAUCGUGAAAGGAGCAGAUGGAGGAUUGGAAGAAAAAGCAAAGUAAAAAAGUUGUGGGAAUUUACUAAUUGUCUUAUGAAAGUGGGUGCUAGACUUCACCAUACAGCUUGUAGAAACGGGAAUAGAGAAUGAUGCUCUCUUGGCAUUGAUCAUUUUCUCUUUUCAGUAUGUCCUGGUCAAUCAUGAGUAUUACAAUGGUGUUGCAUGGAAGGAACAGGUGGAGGAUUGUAAGAAAAAACAAAGCGUUGCAACCCUUUGCUGCUUCACUAUUCUGUUCAUCAGUGCUGGACUAUAGAGGUGAGCAGUUCCUUCACUGGCCACGCGUGGGAGUGGAGGCUCAGUCUGAGCAAAAGGUUGCGAGAAGCACCGUAGAAAGAAAAGCGGAUUUUAAAACGGUAACAUGAUCAAUGUUUUGUGUUUAAAGUUGUGAUUUGUAAAAAAGAACUUGAGGUACUUUGGUUCUUUUUACAGAAGUUUGGUUUCUUCAUAGGCUUGAUUGAGAAAAUUCUAUCUGGGAAUGUGUCAUCUCUGCCUUCUCGACUUAAAGCUUAGUGAAAAAGAAGUAGCAGUUGAGGACACAACACAAUGAGCCUCACUGCUGCUUAAGAAUUUUAAAGUACAUCCUUUGAUUCUCCUCACAUGCUUCCUCACUUGAAAAACCAAGUGCACUUUGAAAUCCCCAUGCUUAUCUGUUUUCACUUCUUUCUUGAAUUUCUGUUUGGAAUUUCCCUCUUUGCAUUCUACAGCUAUAGAUGCACCUUUACACAAAUAUUGGACAUAAACAUUAAACCAUAUAAGCCUCAGAAUUCUGACAAUAACUUAAGGAUAUGAAGUGGAACCACUGCAAGAAAUGGAUCUGAAGUGAAGUGGCUUCCCAUGGAGAAAUCCUGUUGAAAACAUGUGCCACAGUACACAGUUCCAACCACCACAACUAAAGGAAGAAGGUCCUUGCUGUCAAGGCUAGCUUCUAGAAGACUACCACGAGUGAGACUGAAACAAAAUUACCAGGAACCAAGACAUUCUAAGGUUUGUUAUUUUAGAAACAAUUAUUAUGAGUGAACUGAAUUAGUUUUCUCUUCCCCUCAAACCUUUUAUAAUCAAGCUCCCUAAUAGUCAAUCUCAUCUAGCUAAUUGCUUUCAAACAACUUGACUGUGUUUUUUUGGGUUACUUUUUUAAGCAAGAAACCAGUUUUGCUGUUAGUUUUGUCCAAGUUACAUUUUUCUUGAUCUUCUUAGAUAAGAUUUUUGGGUCCUCUUUGUUUCAAAGAUUUUCAUUCAAAUAAAUCUCUUGAUGCAAGAGAUUUCAAAUAUGGUUGUAAAUUGUUGUCUAUCUUUUUAUUUAUCAUGUAGUUUUUCAGAGCUAAGGUUGAAUCCUUAUUGGCCAGAGACAUGUAGACAUCUAUUAACAACACUACAAAGGAAGGGAGAUCAAUUUUCUGUACUGUUGAUACAUUGAUACACUAUACCCCUCUUCCUGUAGUUUCGCUGCCUUCAGGUCCAUUGACUGGCUAAAAGAAACCAAUUAUGCCAUCUUCUCAUAAUGAAUGCUCCAAUGUCCAAACCCUUACUUUAAUCCCUGUUGUGAAUUUAUUUUCCUUCCUUUAUAUAUUUAUUAUUUAGUUUGUUUCCUUUUAUGAUUUUAGAGAUAUCUUGACUCAUGAGUUGUUUUGUGGGUACAGUUCACUGCAUCUGCUUAGUUUGAGAAAGAGAGACAUUUAAAGUUUUUCUUGGUCACAACUCGCUUGCUUACACAGUUGAAAUUUCAGGUGGUGAACUGUUUAUGCUUUGUUUGAAAGACUUCUAAAGUAGAUUAAUAGUCCAAAAGUAUAAUUUCAGUGGUGUUAGCUUGGCAUGGCCUCAAGAUGCAAGUUCAUUAUUUUACACUAUGUCAGAUGAAAGCAGUGACCUAACAAGUAAAAUUGUUAUUAGCUAUUCAUUUUAAUUAUUUUUUGGGGUUCGAGGAACGGAAUGGAUUUUAGCUUAAGAUAGUAUUUCAACUUUCAUGUGGUUUUAUGGCAGGGUUUUUUGUCAAAAUACUUGGAUAUGAUCCUAUGAAUGAUUUUGCAGUAUUUACAGAAAGUGAUUCCAAUUAUUGCGUGGACAUAACAAGCACAAAAGAUGAACUUAAGGACUUCAUUGGAGGAAGGAAGUAGACAAAAUGAAAAGGCCAACUCUUUUUUGUGGGUUUGUGAGCGUGUCACCAUUUUGCUGAGAAAAAUUGGUGAGUGCUGCAUCAGAGCGAGAAUUGGGAUAUUUGAACAAAGGUGCCUCUUGGAGAAGUUCCUACCAGUUUUAUGUACUUGUCAUUUACGUCUCUUUGUUUCUGGUUAGAUACUGUUAUUCACCAAUCAUAUGUACCUUAAGGUGAUUGAAGCUUCACAAAUAUAAUUUUAGAAGUGGUUAAGUUA